UUUACCCCUCCGCAGUCUCCCUCUAGCGGGGACACCGUUUCUCACCGCUUCUAUCCUACACGUUGGGUUUUCCAGGAAUUUGUCCUCAAAAAAUGUUCCCUAAUGUUAAAGAUUCAUCACCAAAGAUCCAGAUGUGAGAAACAGAGUCAUCCGAUGACCACCAGGGACAAGCACUGAAUAUAAAGCUUUUUGAAGAAGUUAGACUAAAUGGGGAAUAGAAGGGAGAGAGUAUUGUAUGCUAUACCAACAUGUUCCGAAAAUGCUAAGAUAGUGUGACUUCUACAAAUAGAGAAUGGGAAGAGCAAAUGAAAAAAAUUUAAUUGUUUCAGUUAUCAUAUUGGUGGUGGUGGUUUUAGCACGGUUAUUCCGAGGCUGCUACCUGUGUAAGGUAAAUAAAGUGAAUAACUAACUGUG